GACGAACCGUGCGAACGUUAUUCGGAAUCACUGGGCUUAAAGGGCGCGUAGGCGGUGUGUCGCGUCGGCCGUGAAAACCUGCAGCUUAACUGUGGGCGUGCGGUCGAUACGGGCAUCACUGGAGUUCGGCAGGGGAGACUGGAAUUCCUGGUGUAGCGGUGAAAUGCGCAGAUAUCAGGAGGAACACCGGUGGCGAAGGCGGGUCUCUGGGCCGAAAUUGACGCUGAGGAGCGAAAGCGUGGGGAGCAAACAGG
rnacentral:rRNA from 1 species